AUACGUAGGUGGCAAGCGUUGUCCGGAUUUACUGGGCGUAAAGGGAGCGUAGGCGGAUGUUUAAGUCAGUUGUGAAAGUUUAAGGCUCAACCUUGAAAUUGCAGUUGAUACUGGACGUCUUGAGUGCAUUAAAUGUGGGCGGAAUUCGUGGUGUAGCGGUGAAAUGCUUAGAUAUCACGAAGAACUCCAAUUGCGAAGGCAGCUCACAGGACUGUAACUGACGCUGAUGCUCGAAAGUGUGGGUAUCAAACAGGAUUAGAUACCCUGGUAGUCCACACAGUAAACGAUGAAUACUCGCUGUUUGCGAUAUACAGUAAGCGGCCAAGCGAAAGCGUUAAGUAUUCCACCUGGGGAGUACGCCGGCAACGGUGAA
rnacentral:rRNA from 1 species